AAAGACAGGAGCUGAUGCA
rnacentral:misc_RNA from 1 species